UACAGAGGGUGCAAGCGUUAAUCGGAAUUACUGGGCGUAAAGCGCGCGUAGGCGGCUGAUUAAGUCGGAUGUGAAAGCCCCGGGCUCAACCUGGGAACUGCAUUCGAUACUGAUCGGCUAGAGUAUGAGAGAGGGAGGUAGAAUUCCACGUGUAGCGGUGAAAUGCGUAGAUAUGUGGAGGAAUACCGGUGGCGAAGGCGGCCUCCUGGUUCAAUACUGACGCUGAGGUGCGAAAGCGUGGGGAGCAAACAGG
rnacentral:rRNA from 1 species